UUUUUAUUAGCACAGUGGCGAACAAUGAACCAGGGGAGGGACGAAAUGAAACAAAUCUGGAAACUGGUGCCAUCAGAGAUUUUUGGAGGGAUCCAGAUGCUAUAUUUUGCUGCAUCUGCGGAGAUGAGGAGCAAGAGCAUGUGGAGCUGACGUGCCCUUAUAACUAUCUACAUCCUGCUUCAUACGCCCCUUGCAAAGCCCGGCUUCUUUUGUGGCAAAAUGAAACAACAGAUAUCCGCUGCUUUGGCAGACCUGAAGAAGCCCCCAUACUCGAUGAAGUAACCUUAAGGCGUCUUGGGUUCCUGCGAUGUUUUGUGUGUGUGAAUAACUUGCCGAAGCAAUGCUGCCCAGAGCAACUCGCUGGUCUUUUUCUCCAAUUUGGACCGCUGCGGAGUUGGCAUGUAGCCUUCGAUGGCGCUGGGACGUGUAGCGGGUUUGGUUAUAUGAUCUUUCAGCACCGUACCCAUGCAGAGGAAGCCAUUGAGAUGCUCAAUUGCUAUGCCUUUGGUGACUGUAAACUGCGAGUAGAUUGGGCUUAUCCUUGUGCAUAGUGGAAUCAUAAGUUUCAGGCGGGACUUGAAUCAGAAACAGGAUGAAUUUCCCUAUUUUUCUUUUUUGAAGUGAAGUAGUGGGAUGACUAUAAACAGAAUAUGUGAUGGUGUUGCACAGUAAAAAGUAAGCUGUUUGAGUUA